rnacentral:rRNA from 1 species
GGCAGACGGGUGAGUAACAUGUAGGUAUCUUCCCAUUGGUGAGGAAUAACACGAGGAAACUUGUGCUAAUACCUCAUAAGUCUUUACGGAGAAAGCUUUAUGCGCCGAUGGAUGAGCCUGCACUUGAUUAGUUUGUUGGUAGGGUAAUGGCCUACCAAGACAAUGAUCAAUAGCUGAUUUGAGAGGAUGAUCAGCCACAUUGGGACUGAGACACGGCCCAAACUCCUACGGGAGGCAGCAGUAGGGAAUCUUGCACAAUGGGGGAAACCCUGAUGCAGCGAUGCCGCGUGAGUGAAGAAGGCCUUUGGGUUGUAAAGCUCUUUCGUCGGGGAAGAAAAUGACUGUACCCGAAUAAGAAGGUCCGGCUAACUUCGUGCCAGCAGCCGCGGUAAUACGAAAGGACCUAGCGUAGUUCGGAAUUACUGGGCUUAAAGAGUUCGUAGGUGGUUAAAAAAGUUGGUGGUGAAAUCCCAGAGCUUAACUCUGGAACUGCC